CUAAGAAGAGUGCCUUCAGCAGUGAGAGAUGUUUAAUCCAAUCAGUUGAUGCCUUUAAAAAGAGAAGCAAUGACUUCAGCAGUAAGAAGAGAGAAUUUUCAUCCCUGCUUCAGCCAGCCAGCCGCUCCAGGGGUAUUGAUCAAAAACCUUCAUCCGAGUUGUCAGCUCACUGCCUGCCCUAUGGAAUUUGAACUUGUGCAUCCCCACAGACACGCAGUCAGGCCCUCUCAGGUGACCCUGAGGAAAGGAUUCCUUGGUCAAAAGUGAAGGGCCAGCUGGACCACAGCCCAGUGGAAACUCAGUUAAGGAGACGCCCUUACAGGGCUCGGCAGGAAAAGGAAUUGAAAAGGAUCCUGGGGCUUAGAAGCAGAAGGGCAGUGGAGCUCGGCAUCGCCCUGCUGACAGGAGCCUGGGCCGUCACGGGAGCCCAUCCACUGUUUCCUUGUCCGUGAAACGGGGAUAAAGGCAAUGCCUGCCGCAUGAGCUGGUGUUUUGGCCAUCAAAGGUUAGAUGGCUGCCACAGAUCUUACUGAAGAGUUAUUCAUUCAUACACAGCUGGGGUGAGGUAAAGGCAUCCUGGACUCGGGAGAUGGAAUAACCAGGUGGUUGACGAUAGCGGCCAGGAUGGUGGAGAGACUCAUGACCUGGGCACACUGGGCCAGGCCGAGGGUGAAGAGCUCAUUCCAGCAGGCCCGCACGAGGCUGGUGUUGCAGUCCUGCCUGGGGACACAGACAUCAGAGUGGGUGUGGUAUGUGCUGGCACUGCUCCAAGGAUGUGGGGGCAUGCAGACCACACAGUACUCUACCACCUGGGGCCGCUGGACGUCUGCCUUCCCCAGCAAACGCUCGACAGAAGCAGAAUCCGUGACGAUCUGAGAAGAAAUCAGGAAAUCAGCAAAGUGCUGAUUAAAAAACCAGAUCACUAAACAAAGUAAUGUUUACCCAUAAAUUCCUAAUCUUGGGUUUCUAAGUGGGGGGACUCUGGACAGAACUGGGAAAAUUCCACUCCACAAUCUAACCUGAUAUCCAAAGAUAACUCUGCAACUGGUAUCACUAUGAAAAAGUAAAAAAUAGCUGUUAUUAAAAUGUACCUGAAUUUGAACCCAUGAUAAGCUUUAAGUAAAACAAUUUUAUGUAUGAUAGGAAUAUAUGCAGAAAUCAUUAUGUAGAAUUAAAUUAACUCAUGCAAUAAAACCCACAGCCAUCUUUUCACAAGUGAGAAGUACUUUAAAUAAGCAGGGAGGCAUUCUGAUUUCAGAUGACCAGAAUGUCCUCUAGGAAAGGAAGGGUGAGAAAGUAUUUACUGACCGCAGCAUAAAGUAUCUAGAAAGUACAGUCCUGAAAGCUGAACAAACUGGUGUUCUGAACCCAGCUCUAUCAGAAGAAAAAAAAAAUCCUUUCCUUCCGUAUGUUUCUCCAUAAUGCAAAGUCUCCAAGAAAACACAUGGAUUCCCCUUGACCCUGACUAAACAUGCUCCAUGCUC